GCAAAAGCCAGAAGCUGCUAGUGUUUCUUCUCCACUAGCAGCAUCUGGCUUUUGCU
rnacentral:ncRNA from 2 species